AGUGAACGCUGGCGGUAGGCCUAACACAUGCAAGUCGAACGGCAGCACAGUAAGAGCUUGCUCUUACGGGUGGCGAGUGGCGGACGGGUGAGGAAUACAUCGGAAUCUACUUUUUCGUGGGGGAUAACGUAGGGAAACUUACGUUAAUACCGCAUACGACCUACGGGUGAAAGCAGGGGAUCUUCGGACCUUGCGCGAUUGCAUGAGCCGAUGUCGGAUUAGCUAGUUGGCGGGGUAAAGGCCCACCAAGGCGACGAUCCGUAGCUGGUCUGAGAGGAUGAUCAGCCACACUGGAACUGAGACACGGUCCAGACUCCUACGGGAGGCAGCAGUGGGGAAUAUUGGACAAUGGGCGCAAGCCUGAUCCAGCCAUACCGCGUGGGUGAAGAAGGCCUUCGGGUUGUAAAGCCCUUUUGUUGGGAAAGAAAAGCAGCAGGUUAAUACCCCGCUGUUCUGACGGUACCCAAAGAAUAAGCACCGGCUAACUUCGUG
rnacentral:rRNA from 1 species